rnacentral:lncRNA from 1 species
GCCAUGAGCGUUGCAAGUAACUUUUCUUGACAAUAGACCCAUUGUUUAGCUCUAGAGAGCGAGAGUGUAAGAGAAUAAAAUGGAGGGAGAGAGAGAACGUAGAUAUGGAAACAAAGAUUUGAGAGAGAGAACAAAAAGUUGGUGUUUUGAUUGGAUUGUGAGUGUUGUAGGUAAGCUAUGAUCGAGAAGUCACUAGGCAUGUGUGGAUGUUUAUAUAUAGUUUUCAACUUUUCAUGCACAGAAAUUUUGUGUGUCUAGCAUAUGAAUUAAUUACGCAUGUCGAUUCUUUUGUAUUUAUUAAUUAAGAGAAUUAAAAGAAUAAUAAUCCAUUCACGCGUUUCCAUCCACCGUCCCUGCUCACUCAAACGAGCUCAACUUCAAGAGUUAUUAUUACGCUUACCACAGCGGUUUACGCCUCUCUUCUAAAGUUGUUUUUGAUUGUGUGAGUUUAAAGUUAACUUACUAAUAUUACUGUCAGAUUAAAAUUAUUUAAUUUGGUUAAUUAAUGAAAAUAGUUAUGUUUUUUUUUGUCGGAUGAAAAUAGUUAUGUAGAUCGAAGGAAAAACAGUAAUGUGAUGUAACAAGAAAUCAACUUGUUGUUUCACCCGAUCAGAGAUUAUCUAUGUACCAAAGACGCAAAAUUUAAAAUCGGAUAAACUAGCACGCAGUGUUAGGAAGCAACCGUUUUUUGUCGUUCACAUGGAUGCAGAUCACCCGGUUUGGUUUACAGAGUGAGUAUGAAUCUGUAUACGUUGAUGAAAAAAAAAAAGAAUUCAACUUGUUAAAUGAGAUAUAAGGCGACCUAUAGAGAAAGAAAACAUAUAUUGGCUACAGAUAAAAAUAAUAAGAAUUGGGAAUGUGAGUUGGUCAAAAAGGUUAACAUGUGAAAUUGUCAUUGCUGCAUUUAGGAACCCUUUGGACCGUGUUAUGUAAUGUUGGUCCACGCUGCUCCAUGAUCCACACAUGUUGUGACGUGUGUCGGCUGUAUAUAUAUUUCGCGCUCAACUAAUCGUCUAUUUAUAUAUCUUAAAAGAUUAGUUAUUUAUGUAAAACUAAUUUAUAUAUUUCAAAUAUAUCUCUCUAUAAAAUAUGACAAUACUACAAUUGAAAGCUAAAAAGUAUUGGAAUGAUAUAUAACGUUACAUCGAGGCUAAGGAAAUAUAGUAAUCAUGUUCUCUAACCAAAUAAAAAUACUAGCAAUUAUGCAUGAUGACGUGUACAAACGAAAUUAAAAGGUUUUAAAAAUAAUGGGAACAAGAAGAACAAGAAAUCUUUGAACGACUGAUAUAGUUAGUUUUCUCGCCGGAAACGUGUCGGAACAUACUAAGCCCAACUUAAGCAUAUAAAUUCUUACUAAUAAAUGCAUAAGUACCUGUUUUUGGCAAAAAAGAGUAUAUAGUUGGAUAUCCGACCAGUAACUAAUUAACUAUUUUAAGGUGUGAAAAUUAUACUCGUUUUUCUAAUUUCAUAUAUAUCUCAUUGUCAUCUUACUAUUUCCCGUUAUUGGAAAAUUGAUCCUUCUUGUGAUGCCGAAUCACAUUAACUAGCAACAUGUUUUUCAGUUUAAAGUUUAAACACGUGUCGGCUAUAUUGCGUUUGCUUCUUCUUUUCUUUUUUUUGUUACUUUUGUUUUACUUUAUACUAAUUCUUUUUAUAUUGUUUCAGCUGGUAACAUGCUAAAAACAAUAAUGAAAAUAAAACUAAAACAAUUAUUGUUCAACAACUUAGUUACAUGUUAAAAAAAAACUUAAUUAAAUGUUCAGUAAACGCGCGCGCCCUUAGUUUGUAGCUCCCUGAUUAAUAAUCAGUGUCUCAUUGUAAGCAUAUAUAUUGUGAUUACCACACCUUAAUUAUGAAACCAGUUCAAUACAUUAGGCACUUUUAUUUUUAAGUUUUCAAAUGUUUACCUUUCUGUCAUUCCAUAUUUUAUAAAGAUGAUUAAAAACAAUUGUAUAGAGUCCAUAAACUUAAAGAAUCUCUCCUACAAAAUUUUGGUGUUCUUACAAUUUUUAAUGUCCAUUAAAAGAAAAAGAUAAUAAAUACUCCCUCCUUUUUUUUUAAUAUAAGUCGUUUUAGAAUUAUGCACAUAGAUUAAGAAAUCAUUAUUUUUUUAUAUUUUAUAAACAAAAACACAUUAAUUAUUUACCUAACCACAAAUCAACCAAUAAUAAAAUAUAAGGUAUAUUAUUAUUGGUCAUAUAACAUUAAGUGUUAAUAAAUUUUACAUAGAAAACCGAAAACGUCAUAUAAUUUGGAACAUAAAAAUUUCUCUAAAACGACUUAUAUUAAAAAACAGAGGGAGUAUUAUUAUGUUUCAUGAAAUUUUUAUUACACCUCCUUAUCUCCAUAUUUUCUUUAUUUUCUCAUAAUUAAAUAUUUUGUGCAACAUUUAUAUGAUUUUUUGUUAACUACUGCUCAUUCAACAAACUUUUAUCUAAUCAACACGUCAAGUCGUUAACAGCGUAGUAAAAAUGAUCUCUUCAACGUGUGAUAAAUGUUGCAUGAAAAACAUGAUACUAGUUUGAUUUGUCCUUGGAAAAAUAUCAAACUUAGGCGAAAUGUAACAUGAUGGGAUCCCCUAUCGGGUUUUGCUUUUUUUCUUAGCGAAUAUAUUAAAGACUUACAAAAAAAACUAUAUUUUCUUUUAAUUGAUUUAAAAUCCAUACAGACAAAAAAAAGGUUUUUCAUGCGGUUUGAUUAGAAAUCCACAGAGUAAAAUAUUUUAUUUGUAAAAAAAAAGGAACGAUGCGGUUUAAAUUACUGAUAUAUUAUAUAGUUUGGUUUAUUUAUUUUUUGAAAAGAAAUUAUAUAGUUUGAUAGUAACUCGAAUGUUCCUGACCCGUAUAAUAUUUCAUGUCCUGUUUACAAAAUACCUUAUUAAAACAAAAUUUGUAAAUUAGAAACUAUUGACAUUUCAUAACUGCAUUAGGAAAGUAAUUAGUUAGUACUGUAUUUUAAACUAAUAUGAUAUCUUGAUAUUUGAUUCUAGAACAGAAUGUUAACAAGAGGUCGAUUAAUAUUUGAUUUCUUGAAGUCCUCUGUGUAUAUUUUCUCAAAAUUUUAAUACUCGGGUGUUCAUUCGCAUCUUCGUACGAUGCUUCAUUUCUCACUUUUUGACGUUCAGAGUUUGUAAAUUAUAAAAAGAAGUAUUUCGCGACAAGUUUUUGACUCUUUGAAAAGUGUUAUUGUACGAUUUUCCUCUUGGAGUGACCGGAAUUUCCAAAUGUAUGUAUGUUAAGUUUGAUAAUUCAUUGAUUAUAUGUCGAUUUAGUCAAACUUUGGUCCGAAUCAAAACAUUUAAUAGCUUGCCAAGAAUUUUCUUCGGCUGGAGGCACGCAUAUAUGUAUCAUUUGUCAAACCUCAUUGAUGUAAUAUUGAUAUUCUUGUUUCUUCACUGCAUUUCCAAUAUCGGCUGAAUUCAAAGUUAGUACUUUUACCUUUGAGAAGUUAUAGUCCGGUUAAAUUUAUAUAUUCCAUUGGAGGACGAGUUGCUCUGUUGGUCCAAGCCAUGGAUCGAUUCUUUUCUAGUGCGAAAUUAUUAGUUCUACAUGUGACCACGCGGAUAUGGAUCCAUGCUUACGGUCCAUUUGAAUACACGGAAGAGGAUCUAUCUGUGGGUUAUACCUCUCACAUGGGAAUUAGGUCUGUGUUUUUAAUAGAUCCGGAUUUAAUUUUUUUUUUCAAAAAAUAAAAUCAAUACUAUAUUACUAUUAACAUAAAUAUAAUUCUAUAUACUAAUCAAAUUUGAAAGGUUUUAUCACGUGUGCACGUAGCACCGCUACGAUAACUUUUAUAAGUUUAUAUGUUAGAUAUGAUAUUAUAUUUUCAUACCAGUCAAGAAAUGAUUAUUAGAUCAUCACAUUAAAUCUAUUAUUGUGUUAGUGUUAUUGUUUUGUAAUACUAACACAACAGUAGAUUACAACUCAGUGCAAUGUUUGUAACUGGAAAAAACUAAUAAAAUAACAAGAAAAAAACUAACCAAGUGACUAUUAAAAAAUCGACCAUAACUAACAAUGAACAAUGAGGGGAAAAUGUCGUUCCAAAAAAAAAUCCUUUUAAAAAAACUAACAAGGAAUAAAGAGGGGAUUAUAUAGGGUCCUUAUAUGAUCUUGAGAUGCAACAAAAAUGGGUCCAUAUGUAUAUCUUCCGACAAGGCCUUGCUUUGAUCUGAUUCUUUGAUGCGCUUUGUGACCUUUAAGCCGAACAACAAGAAGUGAAGACAAGAUGCUGUAUAAUUCCAAAAGGGGUGCAAAUCCCAAAGCAUAAACUAAUAUGGUUAGCAUUAUGUUUUUAAUACGUAUAAUUAAUUUUAAAGUUGACAAUGAGAUAAAUCAGCAUUGAAACAUUAUUUCCACAAAUUAAAGAUUGGAUUAAGAUUAUAUAUAAUGUUUUUUUACUGAAGAUAUUUAUAAUGUUUCGAGGGGAAUGGAAAAACAAACAAGCAAUAUAGUUGAACAUUUUAGAGCAUUGGUAUGACGGUGAAUUAGUAUAUUUAUGGAGAUUGAUACAUGGCAUACUAUUCAAAUUAGGGUUUACUGGUUUAAUUUAGUAAUUUGAUUAAAAAUAAAAUGCACUUGUUUCAUGAAAUAAUAUAGCGUGGCGAAUGACCCAAAUUUUAAGAAAUAUGACUAGGGAUGUAAGAGAAGACUGAAGAGUGAGCACGUGAAUGCCCAAACGCAUGUAUGUCCCACAAUGACAAUGUCAUAUAUUAUGUGUAUGCAAAGUAUAUGUAUAUAAAAUCAAUAGCCACGAUGUGAAUUUCCUUGGAGUGGGUUUUAUAGUAUUGCCAAUGUAUAAAUAGUUAAUUUUGUUGUUUUCUGAUAAAUAAUCUGGGUCCUAUAUUCAAAUUGAGUGCCAACUAACGUGACGUUCACGUUACUCCGAUCCUCAAGAAUGUCCUAGGAGAGACACUAUAUGGACCAAUUUGCUUCACCUCCUCCAUAACGUAGGACCCUUCUUCAACCCCUCCACUUCAAUUUUACAUUACUUCCUUUGUCUCCCUUCCCUUCUAAAUAAAAACAAAACAGCUCGAGAUUUGUAGUUUUAACAACAUUUUCAAAUGUUAUCCAAUUUUAUAUGUCGUACUUUUGACUCGGAUGACAAUAGUGUUUGGUAAGCGAUCCAAAAACGACAAUACUAUCCGGUACUGUUGAAUGAAAUUGAUCCUUGCUUUGGUUGAAGUAAAAAAUUGACUUCUAUAUACGGUUUAUUUUGUCCGCUGUAAACAUGAAAGAUAAGAAUCUUAGGGACUAAUCCAAAAUUGGCUUAGCAUAACCGUAUAAAAACCUAGUCCCAUGAUUUAAAGAAUAUUGAAGUGACAUGCCCACAACCAUAUUCCCCUGACAUGGCUUGAAAAUUUAGUUGCUAAUCCUAAAAAUAAAAUAUUGAAAAUAUUUUCAUAUGCGUAUCAUCUUAUAAAAAACAAGUAUUACAAAUAUAUUCGAUAUGCAUAAGCAAACAGUAUUUGUGGCGUAUUACUUUGUACAUAUAAGUCUUACUUAUGGUGGUUAUUUAGGUCAAUGAAUUUCAUUAUGUUGAACGUGUAUAUGGAUUAGUUUUUGUUAAAAAUAUGCGACAAGUUGGAGUGGACUUAAUUAAUGUCCGUACAAGUUGGAGUCAAUAAAAACACGCAACACUAGACGGGAUGAUUCCAAUAACAAAACGCGAAUUACUUGGAAGCUUACAUAUUUGUGUAGUGUUUCGGCGUUGAUCAUGUGUCCCUUGUGGGUGUCGUUAACAAGUUGCAGACGUGAUCGAUAUGUACCUACAUUGUCCAAGUCAACGAAAAUUACGCAUACUAUGUAAACUAAAUCCUUAUUAUCCAUAAAGUCUGAGACAAAUUACUCAUAUUAUGCUUGAAACAGUUAACUAUAAUCAAAUAUUCAUAAUUGUAAUGGAAUCGCUAACUCUUAUCACAGCAUUGUUAAGUAUCGUUGUCUCUAGCAGCGUGCGUCGUCUUUUACAACUAAAAUUCUAAAAACAUUCUUAUCGCCAUUAACCAAAAAAAAAAAAUCUUGGCGCACCGUUAGCUUUUAGUAACGAGUAAAAUUUUAGAUAGAAAAAUGAGUAUUUUUAUAGAAAAAUAUUCUCAGCUAUGAUAUAUGUUUAAAAACAUUGGAAACUUUAUCUUUAUCGUGGAUGAUGUAUAUUCCCUUUUUUUUUAUUGUAAGUAGUUUUAGAUGAAUGUACAAAUAUUAAGAAAGUUAUUAAUUUUUUCAAAAAUAGCAUUUGAAAUAUAGAUUAAGUGUACUUAGACCAAUCAUAAAUAAAGAAUAUAUUGUUUGAUUGGUAACAAUAUAUCCAAUAAAAUUAAAAAUUAUUUAAAAUUAUGAAAACUAUUUAUAUUUUGAAACAAACAAAUUUUAAUUAAACUAUUUACGAUAAAAAAAAACAGAGAGAGUAUAUCAAAUUAAGACAGAUAAGUAUUUAUUUGACUGAACAAUAAAAAUUUGAAAACGUCAACAGAGAUAUUAAUGGUUUACAGCAAUGUGUGAGGAAAUGUUUUGUUAGAAGGGGAGUUUAAUUUAUGGGAGACGUAAGUCACAUUAUGUAGGAGCGUUGCGUAGGGCAUGUUUGUGUAUGGGAGUGAUAGGUUAAAAUCGAUGUAGGCAUAUUAUUUUUUAAUCUACUAUUAUUUUCACUUCAAAUUAAUUCUCGUUAUAGUAUUUUUCCUGUUUUAAAAUCUAAAUAUAUAAAUUUAAUAGAUGAGAUCUAAUUUAACUUUUCAAGUCAAAAUGAAACCAUUCGACAUGUUUUUAAUUUAUAUUAAAAAUGUGAAACCUAACCGACACUUAUUUUGGAUUGAAAGGAAUUAGUUACAAAAAUUUGGUAAAAGAAUAGUUACAAUUGGUUUACAUAUAAUUUUUUAUUAGCUCAGUCCACAUAAUUUUCUCUCGCUUUUAUAACUAGUUUAAACAUUAAAAUUAUUAAAAACGUUAACCUAAAGAUAACAAUCUAACUCCGCCCCUAGGAAGGUUGAAAUAUGGUGAUGCCAUCCAUGAUGAUAAUAAAGAAACUCAACAUCAUAAUGAUGAAUGGUAGCUUUAAUGGGCUACUAAUGGGCUCCACUCCUUAAUGAAUAUAGCUCCAAACCAUUUUUGACCCCUCUCAAUAGUUUUCAUAUCAUCCAUCGCCCAUUCCCUCUUGUUUUUAAGUUGAAGGUGAUUGACAUUCUAUUAAUCAUUUGGAUAUUCUGAAGUUUUCGGUAAACAGUUUUCACAAUUUUCCUUAUAAUAAAAGAUAUAUCAAAUGUUUAAACUGAUAUAAAAGAUUUUCUACGUCACUGCAGAAUUCACAUAACGACUGCAAGUUUUUAUAGACUUGGACCCUAGAUUCUUCCGGUAACUUAAAAACAGAAAGCCAACAUAGUAAUAAUGAAUCAUAUAAAAAACAACUGAAUAUCCUGGUAAGAGCCUAAUAACAUGCCAAUCCAAACCCAUAUCACAGGUAAAUAAUACUGCAUGUAGUAUAUAGCCCAUUAAGUGUGAGUACUCAGCUUAUAGCCCCAAACUCGUGCGUAAGUAGGAAAAAAAUAAGUACUUGCGCAUGCUCUCUUGUUAGAUAGAAAAAUGGGAGAAUUGGUAAAAUAAUCAAACAAAAAACUAAAAUUAAAAUUUAAGAGCAUCUCCACUGCGGGUUCUAUCCAUUGGAGUUCUAAAUAUGAAUAUGUGUGUAUGUAUAUAUUGUAUAUGUGUAUGUAAUUGUGGAGUCCACUAAAUAGUGUAGAAUCAAUACCCAAAAGUUCUAAAAAUAAAGUUUUUGCAACUUAUCUCAUCUGACAUUCUCUCUCAAUUUCAUUUUUUCAAUAUUUUUAUGGGGAAAAACUUGUUAAGAAACAUGCGUUGGACAUGGCCUAACAAUGAGUUAGAGAAAAGGAGAAGGAUUGUUAGUUUUUUUUUUAAUUUUAGUUUCUUUUUAAUGGCUAUAGAACCAAAUUUCCCUAGAUAAAUAGUUUUGGUGUUUAUGCUUUUGCUAUUGUAUUUGCAAAUCAACGAAGUUUAUAAAAUAUGAAAAAAGGAGACUAAGAUAAAUAAAGAUUUAAAACCAAACUUCAUAGUGCAUACACGCAAGUUUCUAACAAUUAACAGAGAGAGAUACACUUUUACAUGAUAAAAUCUUAUUUUCUUUUCAAUGAACGUGACACAUUUUUCAAACCAAAUCAAAACAGACCACGACGUAGCUAUAUUCUUAUACAUGAAAAGUCUUGGAAAGCAAUGUUUAUGACGUCAUCAUUGAGGAGAAGAAUGAGCAGGAGGAGCUCUGUAGAUGGCAGGAAUGGUUCGAGGGAAGAACAUUUGCCUCACACCUUCUGCUUUUAUUAUUGGAAAUAUAAUCCCCGAAGCACUCUGUUUCACAACAAUGACAAAAAAAAAAGACGCAACGUUAAAACCUCUACACAAAACAAAGUUUAGUAUUUUCAAAAAAAGCAACGUACCGAGAUGAGUCUAGCACCAAGCCACAGUCGUUUAACUGAAGGAAGAGGCACAAGCAAACGACCAACACCGAAUAUAGCCACAGCGAAGAAAUGAAGAACAAGACUCAUAGGUCUCGGGUUCAAACCCGACAGCAAAGCCACGGGUCCCGACGAGCAAACCCCUCCAAGGCUAAGAUAAUCAAAGCAAGCCCGACGCAUCUCGCUUCUCGCAUCGUCAGGAGACGCCAAAAACACUUUAUACAAAGCCCCCGCGAGUGUAUUAAUAGUCGACGCAACCGGUUUCCGCAACGUGUAGAAAGACUCGAUGUACUUGGACAACGACUCUUUAUCGGUUAAGUCAACAAGAGGGUUUAAAAGAUCACGUAGGAUGACUAUAUCAGACAAUGCCACGGUCAUACCGCCUCCGGUUAAAGGAUGACGCAUGUUAAACGCGUCACCAAGAAGGAGAGCUCCUGGCGUAGGGAUGGGGUCAGCAGGCAUGCUACGGUUCGGCAUUGUUCUUAUGUUACCUUUCUCAACAGCUGAGAGGAAGGCCUCUCGGAUCUCGAUAGGUACUUGUGGUGCAACGGUUGUUUUGAGAUGUUUAGCCAUGUCGCCGCUUGCGAGUGAAGGUAGUUUUGAGCCAGGUACGUCCACUAAGCAACGGACUUCAGAGCUGCUUAUGGGGUAGAAGAGAAUGGGUGAAGGGUCGCCGAGGACAACGUGGCCGUGGUUUGGAAAGGGAAGCUCGCAGUUCUCUAAGACGAGACCGACGAAGUUUGAUGGUACUUCUACUUUAGGUUUGCAAAGAGAGCGACGUAAGUUGGAGAAACAACCAUCGCAUACGAUGGUGAGUGGAGCAUAUGAUUUAAGUUCUUGUCCUUCUUUGGUUUUGUAUUGAACGCCUUUAAUUACUCCGUUUUCUUCUACUAAUGAUGUCACUGUUCCUUGCUCCAUUUUAACACUGAAAGAAAAUAAUUCAAGUGAGAUUUUAUAGUAAUAAGCAACCUAAAUAAAUGCGUAAACCACAAGGUGGUCGUUUAGGCGGACUUUGGCGAGCUACAAGGGUUAGAAUGCACCCCAUUAACACUUUAUCUAGUGGUCAUGUGGAUAUAAAGCUAUGCUUUAGGCCUCAUUUAAAUAUUUGAAUAGAGGGUUUAUCUAUGAGCUGCAUCUCUCCUCAUGGACUGAUUUAUGUAUUUCCAUAUGCUCGGAAUACCUCGGGUUAAUAAAAAAAAGUGUACUUCUUACUUGGGAAGUGUAGAAGCUUUCUCUCGCAUCCUCUGCACAAAUCUACCAUUGUGAAAGCUACGACCAGCCACAUCAGAAUCAAACUGAUCAAGAGGGUAAGAGAGUUUGGUGUGUUUCCCAUCUUUGAAGAGUGCAUAACCAAGAACUCUCUGCGCAUCUAUCUCCUUCACACAAUCUACAACACACACAAGUCAAGUCAGCGUUGUAAUAAUAUAGAGAUGAACUAUAUUGGUUGAUUUUGGUUUUACCUUCAAGCCCGAGUUCGAUUAACUUCAAGUAUCCACCUGGUUGAAGCAACUCACCAACAAUCCGGUCAGGUUCGGUUAAGUCUCUUUCAAUAACGUGAACUCUUCUCCCUUCCUACAACAGCCAAAAAAGAACUUUAACUUUGGUUCCGUGACGCUGACGAGAACCAUAAAAUCAGCAACAAGCAAAACCCAUGUUUCAUAUCGCAACUUGAUCCUCGAAAACAAUAACAUCCUUAAGACGAUUGUCCUUAAGAGAACUAAACCUAACAUAGCUUCUGUUGCAAGAAUUCAAUGACGCUGAGAGACAAUGAAUACUAAUAAAUUAAUAAACAAUUUAAUAAGAUUCAAACACAAACGUAUACCAAUAAAUUAUAAUAAUAAUAAUAAACAAUUCUUGAUUACCUUGCCGAGUGUAUGAGCAAGGGCAGCGCCGGCAACACCAGCGCCGACAAUGAUGAUAUCGACGUCAUUGUUUCCAGGUUUCACCGUUAGGGGUUCGUUGUUUCUGCUCACAAUCUCCUUGCUCCGACGUCGCAGGAGGUAGAGAAGCAGAGACGCGAACAAGGAGGCGAAGCAUGUUGUCAGGAUUAAGUGAUCGACGGCCAUUUAUCUCCGCCGCUCGCGAGCGACCAAUCAAUGUCGGUGAUUCGAGGAGGGUUGUUACGAAACGACGCGUAGUUUUUUUUUUGUGUAAGGAAAACGAUCUUGUUGGUAUUAUUAUGUCAAGGAUGAAGAGGUUGUGGUUGUGAAUCGAACUCGUGGCUUCUUAAUAAUUUCAUAAGUUUACAAGGACGAAAAUAAUUAAAAAUAUAGGUAAGACGUAACCUACAAUAAAUACCUGUUAACAUAAUUAUUAAAGAUAUUUUUAGUAAUUACAGAAUCAACCUAAAUACAUUAGCCAGUUAGAUAUCCGUGUGUUUCAACUUCUUUUUAACCUUAAUUUUUGUAAUGAAAUGCUAAUUAUCAUAUACUAUCUAACAGUGAUGGUUUAAUUUGUUUUCUUGUACCAAUAUAACCAAACCUUAAACACAUGGUUGAAUGACAUGUCUUGUGUGUUUCAAGUUCUUUUAACCUUAACUUUUGUAGUGAAAUGCUAAUUAUAAUUAUUCUUACGGUAUGGUUUAAUUUGUUGUUUAUACCAAUAUACCCCAAACCUGUCGAUCACGAUGACCUUCCCACAUGUGACAACGAAAAUUAUCAGAAGAAGAAGACACGUGGGAUGAUAUUGCCUUCAUAUCUCCUAUAACAAACAAACGUUACAUUUUCGACACAAUUAAAGUGCAAUUAAAUACGACUGGGACAGAAUAUCUAAGCAUAUGUGAUAUGACUUUAUGUGGACUUAAAUGUUUCCGACCCCUACAAUCUUAUUCCUACCAAUCAACCACCACAACACAAAGUUGAAUUGUUUAACGAGUCAAAUGUUUGGGCCUAAGCUGGAAAUAAUAAUGGGCCAUGGGCCGAUAUAAUACGCAUAUCUACGGGUUUAAAACCAACUCUUCCACAUCAUACGACCGAGUUUGGGCCAAUUCAUGCACACGUGUGGAACAACAUGUGCAAAAGACAUUAUUACGUAUGUAAAAUGAAAAUCAAUGGUUUCAACUUUCAGCUUUCAAGUUCAACAAAACUGAACCAACCACACAUUCAUUUAUCCCACGUAUGGGGCUACAGUGAUAUUACGUCAGGCAUCAUUAUUUCAUAGUAAGUGGCAUCAAUAAAUUCUCUCUAGUUUUUUCUUUUUUCAAAAAUUUACUAAUUUAAAUUGUUUUAUUUAUUGAAAAGUUCCCUAAAAAUCAUGGAGGACGGAAUAUUUUAAAAUUUUGGUGAAACUUUAGGUAAAAGCUGAUACUGGGGUGGGGUGUGAAAAAGAGACAAAAGAAGGGAAUGUAGAGAUGAGGUGGUGAGGUAUGUUGGAUUGUUGUGGGACGAUAUGGUCAAUAAAGCAAAUCGCAUUAUUGGAGACACAUUACAUAUUUAACUCACUUUCAUCUUCUUGUUUCGACGUACUAGAAAGAACAAAGUAUGAGGAAAAUAUAUUGAAGUGACUAGAAACCUAAUUAUUACAUAUGGGUCAUUUCAUCUCCAUGCACAUUCUCUUUUCAUAUUUUUGCCUUAUCUUUAUACGAUAUUAACAUUCUAAUCGAUUACCAAAACCAUCAAUGCCAUCAAAUCAGUCUCUAAAUGUUCACGUUUUCAAAAAAUAACUAUCUAAGUAAAUUGAGUAUCAAAACAUACAUGCUACUAAUUUGGUGUUGUUUGAGUUGGUCUAAAUCAUUUUCCACGAUUUCACCAAGAUCUUUUCCAUGAUCAGAUGACUACAAUAUCAAAAUUAUCAAUAUAAAUUUACGUACUCAUUUGAUAAUUUAUAUAUGCAACUAAGAUGCAAGGUUUGUAAAAAGAAAUGCAUUGAUAACAUAUGUUAUAGAGAGAUUCAUUCUGUUUCACAUGAAUACAACUCAAAAGAAACAUAUAACGCUCCUAAGCAGACUAUUUAUAUCGAUAAACUAAACCGAACAAUAAUUCAAACCGGAUAAACCCGGAGAUAAACUUACACACUUGGACCCUAAACCAAGAAAACCAGAGUUAGCCAUUAGAUUGGAUCAAGAAUCAGCCCACGCAGCGAAAACCGGCAUCUGCGGCAGAGUAAGAGAAACGGUCUUGAGGUCAGCAUUAGGGUUCGUGGUCCAAGAACUCAUAUUUCCAACCACAUUUGCUCCGAACAUCUUCGGACCAACUUGAGGCAACGCAAAUAUCGUCGGAAAACUCAAAACCCUCUCCGGGCUACCCACUUCCUUAGUAGAACCACCGUCCACGACAGCGGUUAAGGCGGUUUCCUCGUCGCUAAUGUUGCGGACCACGAUGCUGUUGCUGUUCCUUCGAGCCAUCUCUCCAGACAAGAGAGUGUUACUAGCCAUUAUGCGAUCAACAUCGUACCUUGUUAUGUCAAAGUUAGUCACCGCGUUUGUGCCACGGAACUUGAUAGCUGCCACAUCAUAGGCUUCCGCCGCUUCUUCUUGAGUUCCUAAUAGGGUAAAAAAAUAUCACUUGAGAUACAAGCAAGUGAAAAGGAUUUUUACUGACCAUACAUCCAUGGGUGAAAAUUACCGAAAGUUCCAAGGUAGAGAUCUUUGUUUCCAGCGACUCUACCGAUCCGGGCUUGCCACCUUCCAUGCUGGUGAUGUCUUUUAUAAUAGAAACACGAAGUCAAUAUGAAAUAAAUAAAUAAAACUAUAUAUUAGUAUAAAGUUACUUAGAUGAAAUUAAAGGUACCUGGUGACUCCUCUAUAGAUGGAAGCACCCCUAGAGAAACCACUGCUUUUUCUUCUCAAGCCGACGCAUCUCGCUUCUCGCAUCGUCAGGAGACGCCAAAAACACUUUAUACAAAGCCCCCGCGAGUGUAUUAAUAGUCGACGCAACCGGUUUCCGCAACGUGUAGAAAGACUCGAUGUACUUGGACAACGACUCUUUAUCGGUUAAGUCAACAAGAGGGUUUAAAAGAUCACGUAGGAUGACUAUAUCAGACAAUGCCACGGUCAUACCGCCUCCGGUUAAAGGAUGACGCAUGUUAAACGCGUCACCAAGAAGGAGAGCUCCUGGCGUAGGGAUGGGGUCAGCAGGCAUGCUACGGUUCGGCAUUGUUCUUAUGUUACCUUUCUCAACAGCUGAGAGGAAGGCCUCUCGGAUCUCGAUAGGUACUUGUGGUGCAACGGUUGUUUUGAGAUGUUUAGCCAUGUCGCCGCUUGCGAGUGAAGGUAGUUUUGAGCCAGGUACGUCCACUAAGCAACGGACUUCAGAGCUGCUUAUGGGGUAGAAGAGAAUGGGUGAAGGGUCGCCGAGGACAACGUGGCCGUGGUUUGGAAAGGGAAGCUCGCAGUUCUCUAAGACGAGACCGACGAAGUUUGAUGGUACUUCUACUUUAGGUUUGCAAAGAGAGCGACGUAAGUUGGAGAAACAACCAUCGCAUACGAUGGUGAGUGGAGCAUAUGAUUUAAGUUCUUGUCCUUCUUUGGUUUUGUAUUGAACGCCUUUAAUUACUCCGUUUUCUUCUACUAAUGAUGUCACUGUUCCUUGCUCCAUUUUAACACUGAAAGAAAAUAAUUCAAGUGAGAUUUUAUAGUAAUAAGCAACCUAAAUAAAUGCGUAAACCACAAGGUGGUCGUUUAGGCGGACUUUGGCGAGCUACAAGGGUUAGAAUGCACCCCAUUAACACUUUAUCUAGUGGUCAUGUGGAUAUAAAGCUAUGCUUUAGGCCUCAUUUAAA